UACGGAGGAUGCGAGCGUUAUCCGGAUUUAUUGGGUUUAAAGGGUGCGUAGGCGGUCCGUUAAGUCAGCGGUAAAAUUGCGGGGCUCAACCCCGUCGUGCCGUUGAAACUGAUGUUCUUGAGUGGGCGAGAAGUAUGCGGAAUGCGUGGUGUAGCGGUGAAAUGCAUAGAUAUCACGCAGAACUCCGAUUGCGAAGGCAGCCUGCUGGACUGUAACUGACGCUGAUGCUCGAAAGUGUGGGUAUCAAACAGG
rnacentral:rRNA from 1 species